GGGUUUCGCAAUGACACGUUGACAUGGUGCUUACGUGUGCACCGUACGGGGGCGGGGACAAGUCGGGAAGGCCGCUAGGGAAAUACCGGCAUCCCUAACGCCAAAACGACCGGUGGGCCCGCGUGCUAGGAACUCGAGCGCAGCAGAGGCGGGGGUGGGGGGUGGGGGUGAGUCUGCUGGACUGUAAAAUAGCAUCGUCUUAUCAAAACCGGAAGUUCCGAGUGGACACGUGGGACGAGGGUUCGGUUAAAUAACUCAGGGUAGUGCCUUGCAACGUUUCAAUGUGUUCCUGGAAAAGAAAGGAAUCUUUAAGAUGCCUCAGACCGAUGAGUGGAGUGUGAUAAGCACUGAGCUGGAGGCUUCCUAAAACACUGCAUCCGUAUUGGAUCCUAGAGGAAACACUGAUUUCGACUGGACAAUUUUAAUUUGGUUGAUAGAACUUCUGAAAAAUCUUGGUGAACUUUUGCUUUAAGCUGAUGUUAGCAUUUCACCGAGAGGAUCGAUCAGUACGUUCUGGAUUAGAGGAGUCGAUUUCUCAUAACCUUGGGUGAAAACACCUAUUUAUAGUAGAAUUCCUUGAACAGAGGACAGAAAGGGCAGAAAAGGUCAGCACCGCUCAUAGCCGGUUUAAGAAGCCGGGCCCUGGAGCUGGGUGCCUGUUGGGGUCCGACUCUGCCACUCUAGGGCGUGGGGUACACGGAUUUUCACAGGCUUCCGUCAUCAUACUAUUAGUAACCAUGUAGAGGAUGGGAAACCAAGGUAUAAGGACGGCCAGCCAGCCUGCUCUCCCCUGUCUCCUGGGACCAUCAGCCAGCCUGCUCUCCUGUCUCCUGGGACCAUCAGCCAGCCUGCUCUCCCCUGUCUCCUAGGAUGGUCAGCCAGCCUGCUCUCCCCUGUCUCCUAGGAUGGCCAGCCAGCCUGCUCUCCCGUCUCCUGGGACCAUCAGCCAGCCUGCUCUCCCCUGUCUCCUGGGAUCACCAGCCAGUCUGCUCCUGCUGGAUGGAAAGAAUGGGAAUCGAGAAAGACCUGACGAUCCUGACGGGGAGCCCAGUCCAUUCCCCUGAGCUCCUGCCAUGUGCCCAGAGAGCUCAGUCAGUCUUAUGACCUCUCCUAAAUGGAUCAGACACCAUGACACCAUCAGCAGUAUGAGGAAUGUGUAUAAAAUCCAUAAUAGAGACUGAAGAAGAACGUGAGACGUGGAGAGACUCAGAGAAGGUGAGUUUGUAUUGAACAGAUGGAGACUAAAACAUAUGGAAAAAUGUUCCCACCACUCUCCAGGAACAAAAGACAAUUCUGCCUGAAUAGAAAGAAUGGUCUGCUGUGUCUAACGCAGCAAUGGCAGAGCACAAAGGACAGCCUAGAAACCAAGAGGAAAACACAGAAGUUAAAAAUGAAUAUAAAAACGAUGGAAACAUUUCCCCAAGUGUUUCCUAAAGACCAGUGAAAAGCCAGGUCAGGUAUUCAAAGCCAGCUCGGGCAACAUAAAGCAUUCUAGGCCAGCCUGGGUUACACAAGACCCUGUCUGUCUUGGAUAGGCUUUCUAUUGCUGUGAUAAAACACGAACCAAAACCAACUUGGAGAGAAAUGUCUUUGCUUUAUCUUAAAAUUCUUGAGGUCACAUUCCAUUACUGAGGGAAGCCACGGCAGCAGCUGGAACAGGGCAAAACCCUGGUGGCAGGAGCUGAUGCAGAGGCUAUGGUGGGUGCUACUUAACUGCUUUGCUCCCCAUGGCUUGCUCAGCCUGCUUUAUUAUAGAACCCAGGAUCACCUGCUCAGAAUGGUACCACCCAUGGUGAGCUGGGCCUUCCCACAUCAAUCACCAGGUAGGAAAACACACUACAAGAUUUCCCACAGGCUAAUCUGAUGGGGGAUGGUUCCUUAACUGAGGUUCUCUCUUCCCUCUGCUGUGUCAAAUUAACACUACCAUAAAAAAAAGCAAAGACAAAACAAUAACAACAAAAGGCCGGGUGAAAGAACUGUUUUUAAUUAGACAGCCUGCUAGUGGUCACAUAAAAUGAGAACUAGUCAACAGAUAGCUCAGUUAAUAACUUGCUAAUUUCUAAGCAUGAGUUUCCAGGUUGGGAGCACCCAUUCCAUAUCAGAACAAUGAAUGAAAAUAAGCUCACUCCAUCAGACACUUGUAAAAUUUCAGAACACUAGGUUUGAAGAUAGAUUGUGAAGACUUCCAAUGAGAGGAAAGAAAAACGUGUUCUUAAAAGCCUCAAGAGUCACGGCGACCUGAUAGCUCCCAGCAGCAGCACAGGAAGGAAGAAGGCGCUGGGCAAUGCUUCAAGUUUCUGAGGCAAAAUCACUUCUAGCCUUAAGAUGGACUAAGACAAGGUUGUACUGCGUGUGAGAAUAAAGGAAGACAUUUCAGAUGCAGGAGAUGCUGAACACUGUUUCCACUUUUGCUCUGUCUUGGGAAACUGAGAGUGUUCCAUCCAAACUCAGGGAGUAAAUAAACAAAGGGCAGGAGCGGGUGAGACAAAGAGGUGAGGAAAAGUGAAGGAAAUUUUUGUUGAGUCUGAGGAUGACAGCAGCUGGUGAAUGACCAAGCAGUUGAGACAGGAAUGGUCAGAAGAGUUUGGAGGGUGUGGGGAUGCAGUUGGUAAGUAGAAUAUGUAUAUAUUUGAGCAGGUUUUCUAGAGAAUAGGAAAGUUUGAUAUUGGCGUAGUAAUAAAUUAAAACCAUAACAGCUAAGUAGCGGGGGGGGGGGGGGGUGGCAGCAGCAGGAGCAAGAAGAUUCCUGUUAACACCAAACAUGCUGUGUUGCAGAAUGUUUGUUUACACUGUGAAGAUGUGUCUCUGCCAAGGCACCUUCUCAUAGACUUAAUAAAGGGCUGGAUGGCCAGUAGCUAGGCAGGAAGAGGUUAGGCGGGACUUCCGGGGACAGAAAGGACUCUGGGAAGAAGACGUGUAGAGUCACCGGCCAGAUGAGGAGGAAGCAGAAUGGGCAGUACAGAGACAUCAAGGAGGCACUGAAGAGGUCAGAUAUAUGGUACAGGGUAGAGGUGGCUGAGCCACGUAGAAGAACAUAGAUUAAUAAAAGCAGGUUAAGUUAUUAGAACUAGUGAGACAAACCUAUGCUAACGCCCAAGCUUUCAUAAUUAGUAAUAAACCUCCAUAUUGUUAUUUGUGAACUGGCGGUCCAAAUAAAAGUUCAACUACAUAGUGAUGUAUGAGCAGGUGGUCAGUCUACAUGGCACUGAUGCUCAAGUCAGCCCACAUAUUCUAUGUUGAUACAUAGUAGACAUGCUGCUAGUACACACAGUCAGUCUACAUGACACUAAUACAUACAGUAGUCCACCAGACACUAAUACACAUGGUCCCUCCACGUGGUGCUAAUAACAUGGUCAGUCUACAUGGUGCUAAUACACACAGUCAGUUCACAUGGGGCUAACACACAUAAUCUACAUGGCACCAAUACACAUACCAUUUACAAAACCAUUAUAACAUAAACUGUGAACACCAGUCCAGUUAAGGCAAUAAGGCAAUGACAUUACUGUAUCAGGAAAAUGAAAGGAUACACAUAGGUGGUGGGAUGGUGUGUGUGUGUGUGUGUGUGUGUGUGUGUACACUGAAUUCUCAUCACCUCAGUGGGGAAACAUCAGCACAUUAACAGCUGCUGAAGAAACGGCUUGGAGCUUAAGAAUACAUACUGCUUUUGCAGAGAGCCCAGGCUGCUUUCAGCACUCACAGGGCGGCUCACAAACAAACCUAUAACUCCCACUCUGGAAGAUCUGAUGCCACCUGGACUCUGCUGGUGCCUGCUUGCACCAGCACAAGUUAAUAAAACGAGGGCUGGAGAAAUGGCUGCCCUUCCAGAGGACCCAGGUUUGAUUCCCAGCACUCACACGGUGGCCCACAACCAUCUGUAACUUUCCCCCCAGAAAUUUGAAGUGCCCUUUUGGCCUCCUUUGUCACCAGACCCGCACAUGAUAAAAAGACAGA